rnacentral:rRNA from 1 species
AGUGAACGCUGGCGGCAGGCCUAACACAUGCAAGUCGAACGACCGCACAGUAAGCGCUUGCUCUUACGGGUGGCGAGUGGCGGACGGGUGAGACAUACAUCGCCAUCUACUUUUUCGUGGGGGAUAACGUAGGGCAACUUACGCUAAUACCGCAUACGUCCAACGGGAGAAAGCAGGGGAGCAUGGGACCUUGCGUGACUGUAAUAGCUGGAGCCGCGUCGGAUUAGCUAGUUGGUAAGGUAACGGCUCACCAAGGCAACGAUCCGUAGCCGAGCUGAGAGGAUGAUCAGCCACACUGGAACUGAGACACGGUCCAGACUCCUACGGGAGGCAGCAGUGGGGAAUAUUGGGCAAUGGGCGCAAGCCUGAUCCAGCCAUGCCGCGUGGGUGAAGAAGGCCUUCGGGUCGUAAAGCCCUUUUGUUGGGGAAGAAAAGCAGCAGGUUAAUCUCCCGCUGUUCUGACGGUACCCAAACAAUAAGCACCGGCUAACUUCGUG